AUUGAACGCUGGCGGCAGGCUUAACACAUGCAAGUCGAGCGGUAACAGAGAGAAGCUUGCUUCUCUGCUGACGAGCGGCGGACGGGUGAGUAAUGCCUAGGGGUCUGCCUAGUAGUGGGGGAUAACUUGCCGAAAGGUAAGCUAAUACCGCAUACGUCCUACGGGAGAAAGGAGGGGACCUUCGGGCCUUUCGCUAUUAGAUGAGCCUAGGUCGGAUUAGUUAGUUGGUGAGGUAAUGGCUCACCAAGACCGCGAUCCGUAACUGGUCUGAGAGGAGGAUCAGUCACACUGGAACUGAGACACGGUCCAGACUCCUACGGGAGGCAGCAGUGGGGAAUAUUGGACAAUGGGGGGAACCCUGAUCCAGCCAUGCCGCGUGUGUGAAGAAGGUCUUAGGAUUGUAAAGCACUUUAAGUUGGGAGGAAGAGCAGUUAACUAAUAUUUGACUGUUUUGACGUUACCGACAGAAUAAGCACCGGCUAACUUCGUGCCAGCCGCCGCCGUAA
rnacentral:rRNA from 1 species